rnacentral:rRNA from 1 species
AUGGCCACCCCUAAGACCAAGACGCCAGCCCUGAACGAGCGAAUCUUGUCCUCGAUCACGCACCGGUCCGUGGCGGCGCACCUGUGGCACGACCUAGAGAUCAUCCCCGACACGCCCACAAUCUUCAACUGCGUGAUCGAGAUCCCCCAGGGGAGCAAGGUGAAGUACGAUCUGGAAAAGAAGACGGGGCUCAUCAAGGUGGACCUGGUGCUCUACCCCUCUAUCAUCUACCCGAACAACUAUGACUUCAUCUCGCGCACCCUCUGCGAUGACUCCGACCCCAUUGACUUCCUCUUGAUCAUGUAGGAGCCCAUCGUCCCUGGAUGCUUCCUCAGGGCCAAGGCCAUCGGACUCAUGCCAUAA